rnacentral:rRNA from 1 species
GAGUUUGAUCGUGGCUCAGAUUGAACGCUGGCGGCAUGCCUUACACAUGCAAGUCGAACGGCAGCACGGGAGCUUGCUCCUGGUGGCGAGUGGCGUACGGGUGAGUAAUGCAUCGGAACGUAUCCUGGAGUGGGGGAUAACGUAGCGAAAGUUACGCUAAUACCGCAUAUUCUGUGAGCAGGAAAGCGGGGGACCUUCGGGCCUCGCGCUCUUGGAGCGGCCGAUGUCGGAUUAGCUAGUUGGUGAGGUAAAGGCUCACCAAGGCGACGAUCCGUAGCAGGUCUGAGAGGAUGAUCUGCCACACUGGAACUGAGACACGGUCCAGACUCCUACGGGAGGCAGCAGUGGGGAAUUUUGGACAAUGGGGGCAACCCUGAUCCAGCCAUGCCGCGUGAGUGAAGAAGGCCUCGG